ACUCCUACGGGAGGCAGCAGUGGGGAAUCUUGCGCAAUGCGCGAAAGCGUGACGCAGCAACGCCGCGUGGAGGAAGACGGUCUUCGGAUUGUAAACUCCUUUCAGUUGGGACGAAGCUCAACAAGUUAAUAGCUUGGUGGAGUGACGGUACCUUCAGAAGAAGCCCCGGCUAACUACGUGCCAGCAGCCGCGGUAAUACGUAGGGGGCUAGCGUUGUCCGGAAUCAUUGGGCGUAAAGAGCGUGUAGGCGGUCCGGUAAGUCCGCUGUGAAAGUCGGGGGCUCAACCCUCGAAUGCCGGUGGAUACUGUCGGGCUAGAGUGCGGAAGAGGCGAGUGGAAUUCCUGGUGUAGCGGUGAAAUGCGCAGAUAUCAGGAGGAACACCAAUUGCGAAGGCAGCUCGCUGGGACGUAACUGACGCUGAGACGCGAAAGCGUGGGGAGCAAACAGGAUUAGAUACCCUGGUAG
rnacentral:rRNA from 1 species